rnacentral:tRNA from 1 species
GGGAAGUAGCUCAGCUUGGUAGAGCACAUGGUUUGGGACCAUGGGGUCGCAGGUUNUUAAAAUGGGGCCUUAGCUCA